rnacentral:rRNA from 1 species
GACGAACGCUGGCGGCGUGCUUAACACAUGCAAGUCGAACGGAAAGGCCCUGCUUUUGUGGGGUGCUCGAGUGGCGAACGGGUGAGUAACACGUGAGUAACCUGCCCUUCACUUUGGUGUAACUUCAGGAAACUGGGGCUACUACCGUAUAGGAGCUCCUGCUGCAUGGUGGGGGUUGGAAAGUCUCGGCGGUUGGGGAUGGACUCGCGGCUUAUCAGCUUGCUGGUGGGGUAGUGGCAUACCAAGGCUUUGACGGGUAGCCGGCCUGAGAGGGUGACCGGCCACAUUGGGACUGAGAUACGGCCCAGACUCCUACGGGAGGCAGCAGUGGGGAAUAUUGCACAAUGGGCGGAAGCCUGAUGCAGCAACGCCGCGUGCGGGAUGACGGCCUUCGGGUUGUAAACCGCUUUCGCCUGUGACGAAGCGGGAGUGACGGUAAUGGGUAAAGAAGCACCGGCUAACUACGUG